UACGUAGGGGGCAAGCGUUGUCCGGAAUCAUUGGGCGUAAAGAGCGCGUAGGCGGCCCGGUAAGUCCGCUGUAAAAGUCCAGGGCUCAACCCUGGAAAGCCGGUGGAUACUGUCGGGCUAGAGUCCGGAAGAGGCGAGUGGAAUUCCUGGUGUAGCGGCGGAAUGCGCAGAUAUCAGGAGGAACACCGAUGGCGAAGGCAGCUCGCUGGGACGGUACUGACGCUGAGGAGCGAAAGCAUGGGGAGCGAACAGG
rnacentral:rRNA from 1 species